ACUCACCCAGAGCAACAGACCGUAAUGUCACUUAUUAACGGCUGCGGCGCCGGCGGCGAUCCGCCGCCUGCUCGUCGGGACACUGAGCAUCCAGCCGCUGCUAGUGAUUGCGGCUCUCCAUCGGCAGCUCAGCCUCCAGUUGCCGCCGUCAGCUGUCCUGCCGCCGCUGCCAUCAACAAUCCUCCUCCUCCUCCUCCGGCUGCACCAUCCCAUGACAGUGAUCGUGCUCCACGGGGUAUUCCACACACGCCUACUAUUGACCCGAUUCACAACCCUCCUGAUCCUCGACAUCCUCCCCCAGGUCCCCCAGGUCCCCCAUGACAAUCCCAACCCCGCCUCUGCGCGGUUGGGGCAGAGAAUAAAGACGUAGCCGGCGUCAUCGACCAGGGGCGGAAACAAUUAUGGGGCAGUAGGCCUUCAGCCUUAUGCAGCGGCGGAUCCAGAAAAUAGAGUCAUUGAGGUCACUACUCAAAUAUAGUGAUGUCAAUACAUAUAAUUCUUGUUUCUAGAGUGUAUUAGCAAAGAGAUUAGCGAGAAGUUAUUGGUGUCAGCUGAAAUCAAUGCUUACACUAUGGAUCCGCCACUGACCUUAUGCCUGGUUCCAUAAUCCUUAAUUGCUCGUUAUAAUCUUAAAAAUACCAUAUAAUUUAUGGAAAUAUUUAAACUCCUAUCAGUUCAGCACUUGAUGUGAAGAUUUUCUAGCUCCGUCACUGAUGAAGACAAAAGGUGACCUUCCACUUCCCACGUCGCGUCUGGUAGAAACCGUGGAAGAGGGAUAUGGAAGCGCCGGCCUAUCCACUUCGUCCAAGAUGAGGAAACUCCCGUGAUUUAUAUGCCAUAUAUGUAAACUUGGUCCGAUUUAUAUAUAUGUGGACAGUAAUGUUAUUAAU
rnacentral:lncRNA from 1 species